rnacentral:lncRNA from 1 species
CCAAAUGAUGACCGGAUUGCUUUUCUUUGCAUUUUUCUUGCUUUUCCUUACCAAUAGUCGCUCACACCGCUUCCAAACGUAUAACCUACAAAAUGAACACAAAAUGCAUGAAAAGUAACUAAGACACAUGAAUAUAAACAACUAAUUCAAGUAAAAGAUAUCGGAUAAGUAGGUAUAAAACCUACUUAUCACCCUUCCCAUCAUUAACUUUCCAUCUUGAUUCCCGGCAUACUGGACACUCUUCUAAAUCCUUAUUUUCUUGCCAAAAAGGGCACAAUCAUACCUUCAACAAAAAUGAGACAAAUUAACUAUAUAUGAAUGGGUGUUAUAAUUAAGGACUUUUUGAUAUGUUAUUUUACUUACUUGCAUGCGUGUAUUGGAAGGCAUCCAAGGCCAAUUUCACGUAACAUUAUUUUUGCCUCGUAGUAUGAUUUUGGCAAAUUC